UUAUAGAACAUACAACCAGUUUGGGGUCUUCCCUGUUUUUUGACAGUCUGCCCUCAGGUUGGCACUUGUGGUCAGGAACCACACCAGACAGCAUGACACUCACUCCUUAGGGAUACAUCUUGAGUCUUCAUCUUUAAUUUUGGCAAGUUUUAAAAGGGACAGCAUCAGGUAAAUUAGGCCCAAGUUAGAAUUGAUAAAAAUCCUUGUAUCAAACUUAAUACAAGUGAAACACUUUCAUUUUGACUUAAACAUAAAUUUUGCUGCUGUUGCGUAAUCCUAAAAUGCUGCUAACAGACAAGCAGAGAGCAAAAAAGAGUGACCAGAAACAAAAGUGAAACUGAUCAGUCUAGUUCCACUAUUCCACACAAUUCAAAGGAGUAAUCCCACUGUAUAAAACACAAAGAAAAUUAGAGACUGAUUACUGAAAUGGAGAAAAGAAAAGAUAUCACCAGCGCAGGUCUGUCAUUCAACUGAGGGCCUAACAGUAUCAGAAGAGAAAGGACCAUGCUGUGAUUCUGCAGGGUUUUGCAACAGAAAAUGCCCUUCUAUCAAUCACCUCAAAACAAAAAAAAACAAAAAAAAAACAACUCACUGUUAACAAUGAAGGGUUAUUUACACUUGCAGUACAUGAAAGUUAGUGUGAACUUUUCCACGCACAAAGGCCAAAAUUGGACCUAAACCCAUACAUAGGCACCUAAGAGUGAAACUGCCAACAGCACCUAAACAACUUUGAAGCACAAGUCCCAUUGACUUCAAAACUACGAACUCUGAGGGAGGAGUACAGCUCAGUUGAAACUAUUCCGCUUUCUUGACUAGUGGAAGUUCAAUCUAUCAGAAGAUGCUGCUGGUUGCACAUCUAACACACAUUCUUUGCUUGAGACUGCUAUUCUCACACAGUUGACCAGUAACAGAUGCUUCUGUAUACAUCCUCGUGCUAAAUUUGCCAUCUAGUUCCCUCAACUUUUAUGUCGAUAUGGGACGUGAAAAACCACAGAAUUCUUGGGCCCCUGCCUUAUAUGCACAGUCAACACA